rnacentral:rRNA from 1 species
GAUGAACGCUGGCGGCGUGCCUAAUACAUGCAAGUCGAGCGAACGGACGCGAAGCUUGCUUUUCUGAUGUUAGCGGCGGACGGGUGAGUAACACGUGGAUAACCUACCUAUAAGACUGGGAUAACUUCGGGAAACCGGAGCUAAUACCGGAUAAUAUUUUGAACCGCAUUGUUCAAUAGUGAAAGACGGUCUUGCUGUCACUUAUACAUAGAUCCGCGUUGCAUUAGCUAGUUGGUAAGGUAACGGCUUACCAAGGCAACGAUGCGUAGCCGACCUGAGAGGGGGAGCGGCCACACUGGAACUGAGACACGGUCCAGACUACUACGGGAGGCAGCAGUAGGGAAGCUUACGCUAUGGGCGAAAGCCUGACGGAGCAACGCCGCGUGAGGGAUGAAGUUCUGCGGAUCGUAAAACUCUGUUAUUAGGGAAGAACAUAUGUGUAAGUAACUGUGCACAUCUUGACGGUACCUAAUCAGAAAGCCACGGCUAACUACGUG